UGUGUGCGUCUGUCUGUCUGUUCAGGUCUGUUUCAGACUACGUCUGCCUGUCUGUCCAGGUCUGUUUUAGGCUGUGUCUGUCUGUCUGUCUGGGUCUGUUUCAGGCUGUGUCUGUCUGUCUGUCCGGGUCUGUUUCAGGCUGUGUCUGUCUGUCUGUCCGGGUCUGUUUCAGGCUGUGUCUGGGUCUGUUUCAGGCUGUCUGUCUGUCUGUCUGGGUCUGUUUCAGGCUGUGUCUGUCUGUCUGUUUGUCUGGGUCUGUUUCAGGCUGUAUGUGUGUCUGCUCUUUGCUUCUGCUCCUGGCUCUGUGUGUAUUUCCCGG
rnacentral:lncRNA from 1 species